AUUAAGUUAGUUUUGGAAAAAUUGAAUUGUUUGAGUUAACCUUAGAACAUGUAAAAUUUUAGCAGUUAAAGGCCAGAUUACUAUGAAUUUAUAACAAGUGAACUAGCUGCCCUUUAGUUUCUCAUACAUGUUUUUGUUAUUUUCUUGUUAUUAUCACAAAGUUUCUUAUAUAAAAAAGAAGUUUGUUGGAUUUGAUGGAAAAAAUAAUGGCUUGUCACUUAUAUAAUUUAAUUAUUUGUGUUUAUCAUGUGUCCUGUGUCUA
rnacentral:misc_RNA from 1 species